rnacentral:lncRNA from 1 species
AUUCCACAAGCUUGCCGUUUUCCACUGACAGCUCAAGUGCUCGUGCAACAUUAGCUGAUCAGCUCGUGUUCCCAACCGCGACAAAGCUUCACAGAUGGAGGCUCAGAACCAAGAGGUCGCUGCCCUGGUCGAGAAGAUCGCCGGCCUCCACGCCGCCAUCUCCAAGCUGCCGUCGCUGAGCCCAUCCGCCGAGGUGGACGCGCUCUUCACCGACCUCGUCACGGCGUGCGUCCCGGCGAGCCCCGUCGACGUGGCCAAGCUCGGCCCGGAGGCGCAGGCGAUGCGGGAGGAGCUCAUCCGCCUCUGCUCCGCCGCCGAGGGCCACCUCGAGGCGCACUACGCCGACAUGCUCGCCGCCUUCGACAACCCGCUCGACCACCUCGCCCGCUUCCCGUACUACGGCAACUACGUCAACCUGAGCAAGCUGGAGUACGACCUCCUCGUCCGCUACGUCCCCGGCAUUGCCCCCACCCGCGUCGCCUUCGUCGGGUCGGGCCCGCUGCCGUUCAGCUCCCUCGUGCUCGCCGCGCACCACCUGCCGGACGCGGUGUUCGACAACUACGACCGGUGCGGCGCGGCCAAC